rnacentral:rRNA from 1 species
UACGUAGGGGGCAAGCGUUGUCCGGAUUUAUUGGGCGUAAAGCGCGUGUAGGCGGCCAGAAAAGUCCGCUGUGAAAACUCGAGGCUCAACUUCGAGCUGUCGGUGGAAACUUUCUGGCUAGAGUCCGGAAGAGGAGAAUGGAAUUCCUGGUGUAGCGGUGAAAUGCGCAGAUAUCAGGAAGAACACCAAUGGCGAAAGCAGCUCUCUGGGACGGUACUGACGCUGAGACGCGAAAGCGUGGGGAGCGAACAGG